ensembl:snRNA U6 U6 spliceosomal RNA
GUGCUCAUUUCAGCUGCACAUAUAAUAAAAUUGGAGCAAUCCAGGGAAGAUUAGGAUGGCUCCUGCACAAGAAUGACACACAAAUUCAUGAAGCAUUCCAUAUUUUC